rnacentral:lncRNA from 1 species
UAGAGAGCUUCAGUACCUUACCCAGUCUUAUGAACAAACCUGGCAUGACCUCUAUGUUAUCCUCUCUUCCACCCUCACCCCAGAAGACCUGGACUGUAUCUGGACCCUAGUUGAGGCACAUGCUGAUACAAUUCAUCACCAAGCUCCUGUCCGGCCUACUGGUGCAGAGCCAGUCUCCAACCAGGACCCCCACUGGGAUUAUCAAGACGGAGCCCCUGGAUGCCACCAUUGAGAUCACAUGAUUGUGUGUCUCCUCCCUCCUCCAGUCCCUCCCGCCUCUGCAGACUAAGCAAGAAAUUCUCUCUUUUCUAGGACUAGCAGGAUAUUUUAGGCUCUGGGUCCCCUCCUUCACUCUACUUGCCAAACCAUUACACCAAGCCGCUAAAGGCCCUCUCCAGGACCCUUUAAACCCUGCACAGCCUAUUACCCAACCUUUUCAUCUACUCCAUAAGGCUCUCACCUCAGCCCCUGUCCUCACUCUCCCAGACCUCACCAAACCUUCCUCCCUUUAUACUGAUGAAUGGCAUGGAGAUGCACUAGGUAUUCUAACCCAAUCUAAGGGAUCCACCCUCCAGGUUGCUGCCUACCUCUCCAAACAGCUCAAUGCCACGGUUCUUGGAAGGCCUGCCUGCCUCCAAGCAUUGGCAGCAGCUGCUGUCCUCACCCUUGAAAGCCUAAAACUUCUCUUCAUGCCAACCUAACUGUUUAUUCAACCUUUAACAUCAAAGACGUGUGCUAGCUCACUGCAGGGUACUAGGUCUCAUCUCUGCCCCACGGCACCUCCAACUGUAUGCUCUAUUCAUAGAAACUCCCCACAUCACCAUGCUAACCAGCUCCCAUCUAAACCCGGCCAUAAUCUUACCUGAAGCUACAAACACCCAAGACCCUAUACGCUUCUGUGUGAACACUGUUCAAACCUUUCUUAUACCUUUUCCAAACCUAACAGACCAAUCCCUUCCAGGUGCCUCCUUUACUUUGUUUGUAGAUGGCAGCUCCUUCCUACAUAAAGGAUGCCGACAUGCUGGCUAUGCUACAGUGUCACCCCCAGCACUAUUGAAGCCAAGCUGCUCCUCCUAGGCACAACCUCCCAAAAAGCUGAACUCAUCGCCCUCACUUGAGCUCUCACUCUAGCAGCCAGACAACAGAUCAGCAUAUAUUGAAAUUCUCAUUAUGUGUUCCACAUAGUACACUCACACUUGUCCAUCUGGAAAGAAUGGGGUUUUCUAACUGCAAAAAACACUCCUGUCAUAAACUCCUUCAAGCUGCCAGGCACCCACAGAAAGUUGCCAUCAUUCAUUGCAGGGACCACCAAACCCCAGACAAUCCUAUAUCAGCUGGAAAUGCGCUAGCAGAUCAGGUAGCCAAACAAGUAGCCCUACAACCCAUGCAAGUCCAGUUUCUGUCCCUGUCCUUGUUCUUUCCU